ACGGGUGAGUAACGCGUGAGUAACCUGCCUUUCAGAGGGGGAUAACGUUCUGAAAAGAACGCUAAUACCGCAUAACAUCAAUUUAUCGCAUGAUAGGUUGAUCAAAGGAGCAAUCCGCUGGAAGAUGGACUCGCGUCCGAUUAGCCAGUUGGCGGGGUAACGGCCCACCAAAGCGACGAUCGGUAGCCGGACUGAGAGGUUGAACGGCCACAUUGGGACUGAGACACGGCCCAGACUCCUACGGGAGGCAGCAUG
rnacentral:rRNA from 1 species